UUGACGGGGCCCGCACAAGCGGUGGAGUAUGUGGUUUAAUUCGAUGCAACGCGAGGAACCUUACCUGGUCUUGACAUCCCGGAGACCCUUAGGAACUAGGGGUGCUUCCAUCUGGAAGAAUCUGGAGACAGGUGCUGCAUGGCUGUCGUCAGCUCGUGUCGUGAGAUGUUGGGUCAAGUCCCGCAACGAGCGCAACCCUUGCCUUUAGUUGCCAGCAGUUCGGCUGGGCACUCUAAAGGGACUGCCGGUGUUAAACCGGAGGAAGGUGGGAUGACGUCAAGUCCUCAUGGCCUUUAUGACCAGGGCUACACACGUACUACAAUGGCCGAUACAAAGGGCAGCGACACUGCGAGGUGAAGCCAAUCCCGUAAAAUCGGUCUCAGUCCGGAUUGGAGUCUGCAACUCGACUCCAUGAAGUUGGAAUCGCUAGUAAUCGUGGAUCAGCAUGCCACGGUGAAUACGUUCCCGGGCCUU
rnacentral:rRNA from 1 species